rnacentral:lncRNA from 1 species
AAGUCGAAGUUUUUAUCGUACAUUCUCUAAAAUUUGUAGCCGUUCUUUUUUAUUUUUUCAUUUUCGACCAUGUUACAUAGAUGUAAUAUUAAAGUGGCAAAACGUGACAAAUUUUGAAAAGGCGAAAGUGGAGUCUUCCUUUCAGCAAAAACUUCAGCACGUGAUCACGUCAUUUUUUCACUGUCCUUCUAAUCAACUAGCUCAUUGAUGGGCUCCUAAGGAGGGAUAGCCAUUAAUAUCUUAUCCGAAACUAUGAAUUUGUCUAUAAAUUUUCUUCAUCUUCUGUUAAAUAGACCACUAUUAGUUGAGAUUUCUCUGUAGAGAAACAUGAAUUUCCUCUACUUGACGGUCGGCAUUCUGGCGAUCCUAGGCGAAACUGUCAAAACUGUCGAAUGUUUUAGCAACGCAAAGUGCAAUGGUUCCACGAUUGGUGACUGCAUUCCGAUAAAUGAGGAGUUUAUGAUGGAAUCAGAAAUAAGCAGAAGGAUUUUGGUUCAACCAGACAAACAAGUCAUUAAAUUCUCUAACAACAACAAGAAGCCUUUCUGCGGUAAUCCUUUAUAUAAUAAUUGUAUUGGAGCUCAGAACAAACAAUACAACAGACGCCCUUGUACCACGAAUAAUUUCUGCGCUGGGCGUGGACAUUGAUUGAGGAUCAACCAAUUAUGGCGAGCAUGUACGGCUUUGCUUCUUCUACAAAAGAAAGUGGCUUAUCUUUUACUCUUAAGCUAAGCCAAACAUGAUCAGUGUUCCCGUUUGUUGUCCUUUAUAAAUGUAUGUAUUAUGCGAAUAAUUAAUGUCAUGUGUACGUAUUUUGUUUGUUGCUUAAUUACAUGUAUUGUAUUAAUCAGCUUGUUCACUCCAAAUUAAAUUAAUAAAAGAUUUCCUUCCUUCCUAAAGACAAGUUUGAUUUCCUUUUUUGCCUAUCUCAAAUUAAGACCACCUUCUUUAUUGAAAAUAUAAAUAUUUCUUUGUUAACUGCAUACAAUUAAGGAUUUUUUGGCCAAUAUAAUGUUUUGCAAUGUUAUUGUUUAGUUUCUUUUCCACAUUAAUAUAUUUCAAGUGAAAGACGACCUCCGUUUGAUAACUAUUACUUCAAAACUUUUUAUUCUACAUGUUCAUUUCAACAACAUAAAAUAUUUUACACGUAAAUUCAAAUUUAUUUUUUUUAACCACAUAUUCUUUACAGCUUCACUAUUCUAAACCCCCUUUUUUGGGGGGNNNNNNNNNNNNNNNNNNNNNNNNNNNAAAUAAUGACCAUGGGCCAUACUAGGAAAGUAUAGUAUUCCAAAACUUCAAUUUCAACAUCAUAAAUUUUUUUUUUAUUUUAAAAAAAAAAAAAAAAUUCAAAUACAAAAAGUGGACCCCACACCAAACAGUGGCUAUUCUGUCUCUUAGGUGGAAUUCAUCUGCACCAACAGAACCAAAUAUUAAUUAACAAAACAUAACCUGGUGAUUAGAGAUAUUUAAAUAAAAUGAAACAGAAAAAGAAAUUUUCUUUGUACCUUUGGUCCUUAACCUAUUCCCUCAAUAGAAAGUUGGUUUCUAACUUUUGAAAGGAUCAAGUUGAUUACACAAGUUACAUUAUAGUUGCACAUGAAUGUCUUUGGCGACAGAAAGAGUCUAGACCGUAUUUGGUUCAGCCCAAAAUUUUUUAUUAUAAUCUAAGUCAAAAUUAAUUAAAAACCUAUUUAAUGAGAUUCACAGAUUUAAAAAACACAUUUCAUCAACUCUUAUCAAAAUCCAUGAGAAUGUAAUUUUCUCUAAACCAAACAAGGGCAAGACCUUCAUUAAAUUGUCAAGUGAUUCUCGUAAACUUAUAUCAUAGUUGGAAUUUCUAAAUACUAAUCCAAGCCAUGAAUUUAAAUUUAAAAUGAAAAAUACGAGGACAACUUAACGAUUCAACACAUAUUCAGUAACUUUUACUAAUUAGAGACUGACUGAUUAUGCAACAAAUAUAACGAGAAUUGUGAGGAUUUACUUUCUAUAUUUUAAAAGAUAGAGACUGAGAGACUAAUUUUCUACUAAAAUACUAUUUUUAAAAGCAUGUGAUCAUGUCCUUCUAAUCAGGCAGCUCAUUUAUGGGCUCCUAUCCAUCAUUAUGAACCCCUGUUUGGCCCUAUUAUAAAGUGGAAUAAUGGGGCAAACAGGCACUAUGAAUUUAUCUAUAAAUUAUCUUCAGUAUUAGUUGAGAUUUCUCUGAAGAGAGACAUGAAUUUCCUUUACUUUACAGUGGGCAUUCUUGCGAUCCUCGGCGAAACGAUUGAAUGUUUUAGCGCCACCAAGUGCAAUGGCUCCACGAUCGGAGAUUGCAUUCCGGUAAAUGAGGAGUUUCUGAUGGAGUCAGAAAUAAGCAGAAGGAUUUUGGCUCAACCAGAUCCGUCGAUCAGUUAUGAAACUUUUAAGCCGGCGAAGCCCUUCUGCAAGAGAGAUGCAUACGGUAGUUGUAUUGGAGAUCCGAACACAAAUUUCAAUAAUCGCCCUUGUAACUACAAUAAUCUCUGUGGUAGGACUGGAACUUGAUUAAGGAUCAAUCAAUUGUGAGCACAUACAGCUUUGCUUCUUCUGGAAAAUGGCUUAUUUUUCUUUUACUUUUAAGCUAAGCCAAACAUGUUGUCCUUUAUGAAUGUAUGUAUUAGGCCAAUAAUUAAUUUUGUGUGUUGCAUAAUUACAUGUAUUAUAUUAAUCAGCUUGUUCACUCCAAAUUAAUUUAUAAUAUUUGGAAAAGGAAAUACCCCCCCCCCCACCCCCCCCC